GGCAAAGGGGGGCGUGCUUACACAUGCAAGUCGAGCGGAAAGGCCCUUCGGGGUACUCGAGCGGCGAACGGGUGAGUAACACGUGAGUAACCUGCCCCUGACUCUGGGAUAAGCCUGGGAAACCGGGUCUAAUACCGGAUACGACCAUCUUCCGCAUGGGAUGGUGGUGGAAAGUUUUUCGGUUGGGGAUGGGCUCGCGGCCUAUCAGCUUGUUGGUGGGGUGAUGGCCUACCAAGGCGACGACGGGUAGCCGGCCUGAGAGGGCGACCGGCCACACUGGGACUGAGACACGGCCCAGACUCCUACGGGAGGCAGCAGUGGGGAAUAUUGCGCAAUGGGCGGAAGCCUGACGCAUCGACGCCGCGUGGGGGAUGACGGCCUUCGGGUUGUAAACCUCUUUCGGCAGGGACAAAGUUGACUUGUACCUGUAGAAGAAUUGCC
rnacentral:rRNA from 1 species